rnacentral:lncRNA from 1 species
AUCUCUUGAGGUUGGCAUAGUAAUAUCAAAAUCACACAUUACGCUGAAGACGGGUUCACAAAAAAGAAUCUUGAAUGGUCAACAAUAAUACAUCGCUCAAGGUGAAUAAUUAUCUAUUUUAACAUAACAACUAAUUUCAACAGUAAAAACAAAUAACAAAACAUUGUCAAAUUUGAAACAGAAGUGUACAAGUUGUCCUAUGCUUCAGACUUGACAUUAACUAAACAUGCAUGCUGAAAUUGACAUGGUUGAUUUUGUAACACAAUCAUGCA